rnacentral:rRNA from 1 species
ACGCUCCACCCGUUGUGGUGCUCCCCCGCCAAUUCCUUUAAGUUUCAGCCUUGCGGCCGUACUUCCCAGGUGGCUCGCUUCACGGCUUCCCUACGGCACCGACAACGGUCGCACCGUGGCCGACACCUAGCGAGUAUCGUUUACGGCUAGGACUACCCGGGUAUCUAAUCCGGUUCGUGCCCCUAGCUUUCGUCCCUUGCCGUCAGGUCCGUUCUGGUGAGACGCCUUCGCCACUGGUGGUCCUUCAAGGAUUACAAGAUUUCACCCCUACCCCUGAAGUACCUCUCACCUCUCCCGGCCUCGAGCCGAACAGUAUCUCCUGAAAGCCCAACAGUUGAGCUGCUGGAUUUCUCAAGAGACUUAUCCGGCCGGCUACAGACCCUUUAGACCCAAUAAUAACGGUUACCACUCGAGCCGCCGGUGUUACCGCGGCGGCUGGCACCGGUCUUGCCCGGCCCUUGCUAUGCAAUGCUUUUUAGGCAUCACGACAGCCAGAUUUGUAACCUGGCACUCGAGGUCCCCUUAUCGCCGUUGCCGGCAUUGUAAAGUUUUCGCGCCUGCUGCACCCCGUAGGGCCUGGAUUCGUGUCUCAGAAUCCAUCUCCGGGCUCUUGCUCUCACAACCCGUACCCGUCGUAGGCUAGUAGGUACGCUACACCCACUACUACCUGAUAGGCCGCAGACCCAUCCUCUGGCGCCGGAGCUUUCGAUCUCGGGGCAUUCCAACGACCGAGAUCUAUCGGGGAUUAUACCCAGUUCCCGGGUUUAUACCCGUCCGGAGGGUAGGUUGCCACG